GAGAUUAUUGGGCCUAAGCAUCCGUAGCUCGUUUUGUAAGUUUUCGGUUAAAUCCAUGCGCUUAACGUAUGGGCUGCCGGGAAUACUGCAUAACUAGGAAGUGGGAGAGGUAGACGGUACUCGGUAGGAAGGGGUAAAAUCCUUUGAUCUAUUGAUGACCACCUGUGGCGAAGGCGGUCUACCAGAACACGUUCGACGGUGAGGGAUGAAAGCUGGGGGAGCAAACCGGAUUAGAUACCCGGGUAGUCCCAGCUGUAAACUAUGCAAACUCARUGAUGCAUUGGCUUGUGGCCAAUGCAAUGCUGCAGGGAAGCCGUUAAGUUUGCCGCCUGGGAAGUACGUACGCAAGUAUGAAACUUAAAGGAAUUGGC
rnacentral:rRNA from 1 species